CGGGUGAGUAACACGUGAGUAACCUGCCCCUUCUUCUGGAUAACCGCAUGAAAGUGUGGCUAAUACGGGAUAUUCUGCGCCUGCUGCAUGGUGGGUGUGGGAAAGAUAUUGUUUCGGUGGGGGAUGGGCUCGCGGCCUAUCAGCUUGUUGGUGGGGUGAUGGCCUACCAAGGCGGUGACGGGUAGCCGGCCUGAGAGGGUGGACGGUCACACUGGGACUGAGACACGGCCCAG
rnacentral:rRNA from 1 species